CAUGAGACGAUGAUGGGAAGCAGUAACAAGCACGUUUUUUGAAGAGAGCCGGCGGGUGGUGUGAGCCGGUAAAAACACUUGUGAAUCCGUCCCUGAGUAGCCGGGCUGAAACGUUUAGUAGGCCUGAGCCGGCAGUUGAGCCGUUAUUUCAAUGGAGUGGAUUGGACUUGGUUGUCCGGUCAAUUUGGGUGGCAACGCGGGUAGUUCUCGUCCCUUUU
rnacentral:ncRNA from 1 species